rnacentral:rRNA from 1 species
GACGAACGCUGGCGGCGUGCUUAACACAUGCAAGUCGAACGGAAAGGCCCUGCUUUUGUGGGGUGCCCGAGUGGCGAACGGGUGAGUAACACGUGAGUAACCUGCCCUUGACUUUGGGAUAACUUCAGGAAACUGGGGCUAAUACCGGAUAGGAGCUCCUGCUGCAUGGUGGGGGUUGGAAAGUUUCGGCGGUUGGGGAUGGACUCGCGGCUUAUCAGCUUGUUGGUGGGGUAGUGGCUUACCAAGGCUUUGACGGGUAGCCGGCCUGAGAGGGUGACCGGCCACAUUGGGACUGAGAUACGGCCCAGACUCCUACGGGAGGCAGCAGUGGGGAAUAUUGCACAAUGGGCGGAAGCCUGAUGCAGCAACGCCGCGUGCGGGAUGACGGCCUUCGGGUUGUAAACCGCUUUCGCCUGUGACGAAGCGUGAGUGACGGUAAUGGAUAAAGAAGCACCGGCUAACUACGUG